rnacentral:rRNA from 1 species
UACGUAGGGGGGCAAGCGUUGUCCGGAAUUAUUGGGCGUAAAGAGCUCGUAGGCGGCCAGUUGCGUCCGCUGUGAAAUCCCCGGGGCUUAACCCCGGGGCGUGCAGUGGAUACGGGCUGGCUAGAGGCAGGCAGGGGAGAACGGAAUUCCCGGUGUAGCGGUGAAAUGCGUAGAUAUCAGGAGGAACACCGGUGGUGUAAACGGCUUUCUGGACCAUAACUGACGCUGAUGCACGAAAAGCGUGGGGUAGCAAAACAGG